UCGGACCAAUUACUCGCUAUUCAUGCCCAUGUACGAUUACUUAUACGGUACAGUGGACAAGUCCUCGGAUGAUUUGUACGAGACUUCACUGAAAAGGCAGGAAGAGUCACCAGACAUCGUACACCUGACGCAUCUAACCACGACAGACUCCAUCUACCAUUUGCGGCUAGGCUUUGCUUCCUUGGCCUCCAAGCCCUACGCUUUCAAGUGGUACUUCACCAGAGCGAUGUGGCCUGUGUCAUGUUGGUCUGCUGUCUUCACUUGGUUCUAUGGCCAUACAUUUGUUUCAGAGAGCAACACCUUCAAUAACCUCAAACUGCAAUCUUGGGUGGUUCCAAGAUACACCAUGCACGUAAUAAAAAACAAUAUCAUGUUUCUCUCCUUCCUUUUACCCCUCUAUAUCUUUUUCUUUCAGAUUGGUGUACUUACCAAUUUGAUUUACAUGAUCGUUUUCCCAGUACCUCUUGCAAAGGGAGAAAAAAGAUCUCAAUUACUUAAUCGAAGAGGCUUUGCUAGAAGCUGAUAGCAAGGGAGCUAAGGUGGUGAGCUUCGGCCUUCUGAACCAGGCAUGCUUAUGCUUCCCCAAUCAUCAUUCCCUCCUCCAAUUACUACUUUAAUUUCAUACUCCUUCAAACUAAAUCAAUGUUAAUUAUGCAGCAUGAAGAGCUUAAUGGGAAUGGAGAGCUCUAUAUCCAGAGGCACCCUCAGCUUAGAAUCAGGCUGGUGGAUGGGAGCAGUUUAGCUGCGGCUGUGGUGGUGAACAGCAUUCCCCAAGAAACAACCCAAGUUCUCCUGACAGGCAGGAUUUCUAAAGUUGGUUAUGCCAUAGCCCUUGCUUUAUGCCAGAAAGGUGUCCAGGUACUUCAAAUUUUUAUUUUUUAUUUUUUUGAAAAUUAAAAGAUUUCAUUUCUGAAUCAGGGAAAGCACCCAGGUGAUUACAGAAACAGCACUUGAUUUUAAGAUGUUAUGCCCAAACCAGCAUAUCAUCUCGAAUCAGGUUUGUCAAUCAACAAAAAUCAAACCCUUACAAACAUCCCCUGACCUCUGUGUACAAUUAAGCAAAAUCAAUCAACCAAAACAAACACAGUGCAAGGGUUUCCAUGCAUGGUUCCCUGUUCCACCUGAUCAUUCAAAUACAAAACCAGAAAUAUGCACUCAACAUCAUGAUUCAAUAACUCAAAAGCAUCUGAACUUAACUCAACAUGUAAGAUCAGUUCUUCACAUAAGGUUCAGCAAGCGAGAAAACACCAACAAACCUGGCCUUAAUCUCUCUGAAGAGCCAUAAAAAGUAGGGCCUGCGGAGCUGUUCACACCAUGUCGUCUGACUCCAUCAUUUGCUAAACAUUCGCGUGCUUGGUUUUUUUUUUUACUCUAAAACUGCUCAUUAACACAUCAAGAUUGCCCUGGUUCGGCCAUGAGAUAAACUCACAAAGUACAAUUUAAUUUUGACGAUGAGGCAGGUGGCUGCAAUGAAUGAGGAUGAAUACCAGAAGUUACAGCACAGUGACUGCCAGUUUGGUAAAAACUUGGUUCUUGCAGAAAACUACGACCAAAAGGUAAAUUUUAUGAAAAAAUUGGUCCCAAGCCCCCAACUCCUAAUCUCAUUUAUGGAAUCAGGAGAGGUUAUAAUUAGCAAACUUUGAGCAGAUAUGGUUGGUGGGGGAGGGAUUGACAGACAAAGAACAGCUCAAGGCAACAAAAGGGACAGUGUUUGUUCCCUUCACGCAAUUCCCACCAAAGAAACUGCUCAAGGACUGCUACUACCACACUACUCCUGCCAUGGUGGCUCCAAAAUCUCUUGAUAACAUUCACUCUUGCGAGGUUAGCAUAUACAUGUACAGGUCUAUUUUCCCCUAUUUAGUUGAUUUUUUUUUUAUUUUAAUUUGGCACAUGAUAAACAAUAAAAAUGAUGACAGAAUUGGUUGGCAAGAAGGGUGAUGAGUGCAUGGCGGGUGGCUGGGAUCGUUCAUGGUCUGGAAGGAUGGAACGUCCAUGAAUGUGGUCAAACAAUGUUUAGCAUGGACAAAGUUUGGGAGGCCACUCUCCUCCAUGGGUUUUGCCCUUUGUCACUCUCUAUCUAAUUAUAGGCCCCUGUCUCACAGAAGAACAAUAAGACAUCUCUACACGCACAAGGCUUUUAUGUUUCGUAAAAUUUAUCAUCAAUAAAUUGGACUUUAUAUUUAUAAAGUUCACACUAUUUCUAUUCAUAUACACACACGUAUGCAUGCAUAUAUAUGUAAUUUUUUUAAAUAAAUAAUAUUUCUUAUUUUUCAUAAACUUUAAACUUAAUUAUGAAAAACGUCAGAAAUUAAAUUUAGACAUAAUGCAACACAUAAAAUGCUAAACUCCUUUUUUGGGCUUUAACACAAAUUCCUUUAAUAUAUAAAAAAACAAGUUGUAGAACAAAAAUAGGCACAUUCCGAAUCCACAUUCAGACAUCUGGCAAGAAACUUGAGUGUAAUGAUAUCUAAAUCGAACUCAAAAAUGAGACAAGAGGAACAAAGGUUUUUAUGGUUACCAUUCGGUCUAUCUGAAUCCUGAAAUAGUGAAACACACACAACUUUACCAAAAGACCGAAAGGCAAUAAAUAGCAAUAGUAAACAUAAAGCUUAAGAGAUAAUUUUAUCACUUGAAGCACUUGGCAUCCAAAAGAGGCUCUCCCUCGAAUGGCUCGCAGUCUUCAAUCAUCUAACUGACACGUUCCUUCUGGGCUUCGGCUGAGAUGUCAACUUUCUUCCACUCGUAGAGUUCCACGUCAUAGCACUCAUCGAGGACAAAUUGCGGGAUCUCUUGCCCACGGAAAAACAAUAGUCCCUUUACUUUGAAUGGGGGCUCAGAGCCGAUCACGAGCAUCUUCCCAAAUGCAUACUUGCGUGCCAAAUCCAUUCGCUGCAGGAAUCCCCCUACCUAGUUCAUGGUGACAAAUGAGACUGUAUUCUCUUCAUUGUACUUGUUGUCGCAGAACCAGAGUGAGUAUCCCUCUGGAUCAUACACGUCCCAGAAUUCUGUAAUAAACAGGGAAUAAGUAAACGAAACACGGUACAAAAGAUCUUCAUUGAGAUGAUAGAAUUAUAACGGAAACAACAAGGAUACCUUUAAUUGCAACCUCACGGAAGUUGGUCUCUGUAUUAGAGUAAGGCCUCUUCCACUCAUCCAGUAUCAUCUUACUUGGAGGCAGCAAAUCAAGAGGAUUCUUUGGUUUGGGCUUUGGUACCUCUUCCUCCUCAGCAGCCUCUGCCUUAGCUGGUUUCUCAACCUCCGUUUUGUGUUCUUUCUUUGGUUCAUUCUUGGCCUUUGGUUUAGUUUCUUUUGGCUGGGCGACAGGCUUCUUUGAGGGAACAGGUGGCACAGACUCUGCUUGCUUCACUUCACCAAGAAUCUUCUUGAAAUUUGGUUGAUUAACCAUGGUCCAGAAGUACCUCUCAACAUGAGGGAACUCGGAAGUAGAAAUGGCCUAGUAUGUACUUUGGAAACCCUUAAGCAUGGUGUUGACAAGGUUUCGAUGUUUCAGCAUGGUUGUAUCUCUCAGGUUUUGGUGGCUCAAGUUAUUUUGCAUCUCUUUUAUUCCAAGCUUUUCGAUUUUGUCAUACACUUUGUUUAGCUUGUGUGGUUCAUGUCUACUAGCAAGAGUGUACUGCCUUCACUUAUAUAUGCUGGUGGUUUUUGUAGAUAUCAUGCAGUGCUUGUAAAUAUUGCUGCUUUAUGCUGUUUAUAAUGCAAUCUAUAUCUUGGCCGAGAAAAAAUAUGGGUUAUGAGUCACUCCCAUUUAAUUAUGUUAUUAAAUCAGAAAAAAAAAAUAGUAGUUAUAUGGAAUUCAUCAUUUUUAAAGCUACAUGCUUGCCAAGGUAAAUUACUUGUAUAUAUCUAUAUAAGCCAGUUCACAUGGUAGAUUUUAGCAACAACAACAUUUUCUAAACCACAUAGUGUAUUGAAAUUUGAUCAUAAAUAUUACCAACAGCAUCCUAUCCACAUGGUCUAAUUAAAUCCAAUCGAUACCACUAAAAGCUAAACACAAUAAAUGUCACCCACAACAAUAUUUUCGAAACGAAAUUCGAUCCAUAUAUAAUUUUGUAUAAAUUCAAAUGCACAUGCAUGUCACCCACGACAACAUUUUCCUAACUAAAUGGUCUAACAAAAAUUUUCAUUAUUAAGAGAUAUAAAUAUUAAGAAUUUGGCUCCCCUCCAUUAUAUUUUGUUUAUUAGUUUUCAAUGAUUGUUUUACUCGUGUGGAAAUGAUAUCUUUAGUCUAUAUGUCUGUCUGUUUUUUUUUUUCUAUUUAUUUCUUGAAGAGAUUAUAUUUUCUAUUUAUCUUUCAAAGAAUUUUUGUUGGCAUUUGUCAAGAAAAUUCAAUUUGUGUACGUUUUUCCGUGAUCCUUCGAUCCUGUCAUUCCACUCUCACUAACAACCGUCCAGGCCAGUGCCAGCUCAAGGGUAAAGCCACCAAAACGGUGGCUUUAGGCCCCAAAUUUUUAUAGACUUCUAAUUUUAUAAUAAUAGUAUAAUUAAUUAUAUUAAAAACAUAUAAAAAUUAAGAUAAUUAAUAAAAUAUCUAUCUAUUCUCUUAGACUUAAUAAAUAUCUAUUUUAUCCCUUUUUCACAUUUCUAUUAAUUCUCAACUAUUUGACUCAUUUCUCAUGUAAAAGUUAAGAUGAUUAACAAAAUAACAUAUUUUUUAACUUCUCUAAUUAUGUGGGUAAUAAAUCUAAAUUUUUUAUCACUUCCCAAUCUCUACAAUACUAUUAAUUCUCAAUUAUUUUUAUUAUUUCCAAUCAACUAACAUUAAUAAGUAUUUAAUAAUCUACAACAUUUUUUUCUUAACUAUUUCUUCUAUUCUCAAUCAAUUAAUGUAUUUAAUUAUCUCCAAUAGCUAUUUUUUAUAUAUAAAAUCAAUUAUUUUUUUCAAUUUAUAAUAUCCAACUUUGAAUUUUUUUUCUUAUUUGCUUUUUCUUUUUUUAACUUCAAUUUUCUUUCAAAGAAUAUGCAAAAAGUCUAUUGUACUAUUAUUUUUAUAAAACCUCGAGCCUCAUUUACUGUUUAUAAUAAACAUUUAACAAUUAGAUACUAUUAUUCUAAUAUUUACAAAUUUGUUUACUUUAAUUUAGAGUUUAUAUUUUAUUGUCAUAUUUUCUCUAUUUUAUAUGAUAAUUGAUUUAUUGAAUUAGAAAUUUAAUAAAAUUUUAAUAAAUUUUUUUUGUUAAUUUCAAUAAAAAAAUCUCAUUUAAAUAUUUAGUUUUAGGUCUUUGAAGUUAUUAAGCCACCCCUAGUCAAGGCAAAGCUAGGCAUUGCCACGGGGAAUGAUCGUAGGAUUCUUUUUAUUUUUUUAAAAAAUUUUGAUUUAAGAUUUNUUCUUUUUUAUUUUUUUUAAAAAAAUUUUUUUUUUUUUUUUUUUUUUUUUUUUAUAUAUAUAUAUAUAUACUAUAUAUAUAUAAUAUAUAUAUAUUGAGUUAAAUAUUUAAAUACAUAAACAGAUUUUUAUUUCUUCUCAAUCAAUGUAGGUUUAGGGGAGAAAACGUUAAGGAUUAGAAUUGUGUCUCUCGUCUCUUUCAACUUCAACUAAAUUAGUUGGGAAAAAUAAACAAAUUAAAGAGGGUAUUCAUCAAAGUCUUCCUCACACGAGUUUCAUGGUGCUUUUGUUGUUGUUUUUUUCUUUUUUGAAAAAAUAAAAUACAAAAAGCGUGGUUAGAUAUAAAAAUAAAUAAAAUUUUGAAGGAUUGUAUGCAUGAUUUCUAUUCUUUUAUAGAUAAAGAAAUACAUAAUUCUCUAUAAUUAGAAUAUUAUAUUUUAAUUAUUUAUUCAUUUUAAAUCAAUUACGGUGUUACUUUUACUUUAUACUCAUUUUUCAAAAACUAUAAAGCAUAAAGUAAGUAACAAAAGCAUAAUCAAACGAAGAAAUCAAGCUUUGAUCCAUCUUUUUGGAUUUGGAAUUUGUAUAUGGAGCUGGCAGAAUAAGACUUGGGGUUGUUGAUGCAAGAGCACAAGAAUGGGUCGGCAAAUUGAAUGCUUUUCCUUCCUUGAAGCACCGCAUGCAACAUGUAUGGUAGAAUAUUGGGGGUUGCAAGGGUUCAUGUAUUUUCCAGCUCUGAAAACGUUUUCCUGUAUGUCAUUUUUCUCAUUUGACUUACAACACUUCAAACUCUUAAUUUCUGGUAGUUUCGAUGGGACUGUGCCAACUGCCACCAAGUAGUGUAUUUCUUUAUAAAGUGCUGGCCUAGGGGGUGGGGAUCAGACUGCCACGGCAAGCUGCAAAGAAAUAUGGCAACCAAACCAGGAGUUCUCACUGACUGGCCUUGGAAACCUCUUGGGAACUUCAAGGUCCUUGAUUUGAUCUCCAUGUUUAUUUACAUUUGUUAAAGUGUGAUUGGAAUUGUAUAUUAUAUUUACUGAUCACUGCUAGGACGCAUUGUUUGCAUGGUGCAGUAUGCUAUCUUGACUCCAUGGGUGAUUCACAGCACUUACUCUUUGGUGAUGAGUAAAGGGGAAAAGGAGGCAGACCUUGGCUACUUACUCAUAUUCCCAUUUCUUAUGACAAGAGUCCUUCACAAUCAGAUAUGGAUUUCUCUUUCUCGUUACCGAACUGCCAAAGGAAAAAACAGGAUCGUUGACAAGGGCAUCGACUUUGAGCAAGUUGACAGAGAAAGCAACUGGUAUUAGUCAGUAAUUAGCUCUAGCUAAUAGCUAUGUUAUUCUUCUCUUUCGAUUUGGGCCUGAUAUUCUGAAAUGAUGGAUGGUUGGCAGGGAUGACCAGAUCAUUUUAAACGGAAUUCUGUUCUACUUGGCAAAUAUGAUAAUGCCAGGAGCAUCUCACUUGCCCCUAUGGAGAUCAGAUGGAUUUAUAAUCGUAAUUCUACUCCAUAUGGGUCCUGUGGAGUUCCUGUACUAUUGGUUGCACAGGGCACUGCACCAUCAUUUCCUCUACUCUCGUUACCAUUCCCAUCACCAUUCCUCCAUUGCCACAGAGCCCAUUACCUGUAAGCUACAACUCUAAUCCAUGUCAUGGUACUAAUGAAUUCCAACGCAAGACAAAUCAGUUAUACAUGGUUCUUUUUUGCAGCGGUCAUCCACCCAUUUGCCGAAGAAGUUGCAUACUUCUUGCUCUUUGCAAUACCCUUAAUGACAAUGGUGUUUACCGGAACGGCUUCCAUUGCAGCAAUAUCUGGUUACCUAACUUACACUGACUUCAUGAACAAUAUGGGACACUGCAACUUCGAACUGGUUCCAAAGUGGGUCUUCUCGACCUUCCCCCCUCUCAAGUUUCUCAUGUACACCCCCUCGUAAGUUUUACCAUUUGAUCAUAUAUACCUAAAUUACCUGAAUUAAAACUGUUCUUUUCUGUAGCAUGAUCACUGAAUUAUUUUUCCAGGUAUCACUCUUUGCACCAUAUUCAGUUUCGGACCAAUUACUCGCUAUUCAUGCCCAUGUACGAUUACUUAUACGGUACUGUGGACAAGUCCUCGGAUGAUUUGUACGAGACUUCACUGAAAAGGCAGGAAGAGUCACCAGACAUCGUAAACCUGACGCAUCUAACCUCGACAGACUCCAUCUACCAUUUGCGCCUCGGCUUUGCUUCCUUGGCCUCCAAGCCCUACGCUUUCAAGUGGUACUUCACCAUGGCGAUGUGGCCU
rnacentral:lncRNA from 1 species